GUUGAAACACCACUUCUCAUAUGAUCACCGAAGUUAAGCACCAUCGAGCCUGGCCAGUACCUAGAUGGGUGACCGCUGGGGAAUACCAGGUGCUGUAAG